rnacentral:rRNA from 1 species
GAUCCUACGGGGGGCAGCAGUAGGGAAUCUUCCACAAUGGACGAAAGUCUGAUGGAGCAACGCCGCGUGAGUGAAGAAGGGUUUCGGCUCGUAAAGCUCUGUUGGUAGGGAAGAAAGAUAGAGGUAGUAACUGGCCUUUAUUUUACGGUAAUUACUUAGAAAGUCACGGCUAACUACGUGCCAGCAGCCGCGGUAAUACGUAGGUGGCAAGCGGUAUCCGGAUUUACUGGGGGUAAAGGGAGCGUAGACGGCGCGGCAAGUCUGAAGUGGAAGGCAGGGGCUUUACCCCUGAACUGCUU